UACGUAGGGUCCGAGCGUUGUCCGGAAUUAUUGGGCGUAAAGAGCUCGUAGGCGGUUUGUCGCGUCUGCUGUGAAAACCCGAGGCUCAACCUCGGGCCUGCAGUGGGUACGGGCAGACUAGAGUGCGGUAGGGGAGACUGGAAUUCCUGGUGUAGCGGUGAAAUGCGCAGAUAUCAGGAGGAACACCGGUGGGCGAAGGCGGGUCUCUGGGCCGUAACUGACGCUGGAGGAG
rnacentral:rRNA from 1 species